GACGAAGGGGGCUAGCGUUGUUCGGAAUUACUGGGCGUAAAGCGCGUGUAGGCGGUUGCCAAAGUCGCGUGUGAAAGCCCCCGGCUCAACUGGGGAGGGUCACGCGAUACUGCUCGACUCGAAGGCAGGAGAGGGAAGUGGAAUUCCCGGUGUAGUGGUGAAAUGCGUAGAUAUCGGGAGGAACACCAGUGGCGAAGGCGACUUCCUGGCCUGUUCUUGACGCUGAGGCGCGAAAGCUAGGGUAGCAAACGGG
rnacentral:rRNA from 1 species